CAAGGGCAACAUGUUUUGGAAUAGUGAGCAAACUACUAGAUAAAUGAGAUAUAAUGAAAGUUUUGGUGUUGUUAAACAUGUUGAUGAUGAUGUCAAUUCAUCAACGAUUUUCUCUGUUUUUGGAUUCUUUGUUCACCGUGGAGGUAUGAGAGAAAAACAAAGUUUUCUUCAUGAAUUCAACAUCACACAGGACCAGCGUCAUCCUCCUCUCCGUACCUCUCUUUGCCCUGGCUGAUGUACAUCCUCUCCAGCUCGGCCAUGUUCCUCAGGUGAGCAGCCUUCAGCUCCUCCAGCCUCCUGUAGUACUCCUGGUUGGAGAAGUAAACGUGCUGCUCCCUCUGCAGACCGUAGAUCUCCAGGGACAGAGACCUGCGAACGCAUCUGCCACCUUGUCUGUCCUCGCUGCACUCUGAGUCCUGAUCGUACUCCUGAAGGGUGGAACAUAGUGCUGUUUGAUAAAUGCAUCAGGGUCAUAAUGUUUCAUAAUGUAAAAGCACUUUGCUGUUUGAUUAUCAGUAAAGUAUUUCUGAUAA